rnacentral:rRNA from 1 species
AUCUAUUUACUGUGAAACGUAUUAUUACUUGACGCCUGAGGGAUGUUCCACUGCUAUAAGGAUAGGCAGCGGAAAUGUUAACCGAGUCAUAAUCAAGCUUAGGCUUGGUAUCCUAUUAUUAUUUACCAAAAGAAUUCAGAAUUAAUAUUGUAACAUAGACGUAAAAAAUCUAUAAAACAACUUUUAACAACGGAUCUCUUGGUUCUCGCAUCGAUGAAGAACGUAGCAAAGUGCGAUAACUAGUGUGAAUUGCAUAUUCAGUGAAUCAUCGAGUCUUUGAACGCAACUUGCGCUCAUUGGUAUUCCAAUGAGCACGCCUGUUUCAGUAUCAAAACAAACCCUCUAUCCAACUUUUGUUGAAUAGGAUGACUGAGAGUCUCUUGAUCGUCAGAUCUCGAACCUCUUGAAAUGUACAAAGGCCUGAUCUUGUUUGAUGCCUGAACUUUUUUUUAAUAUAAAGAGAAGCUCUUGCGGUAAACUGUGCUGGGGCCUCCCAAAUAACACUUUUUUAAAUUG